rnacentral:SRP_RNA from 1 species
GCCGGGCACAGUAUUGCGUGCCUGUAGUCCCAGCUACUCAGGAGGCUGAGGUGGGAGGAUCACUUGAGCCCAGGAGUUCUGGGCUGUAGUAUGCUGUGUCAAUCAGGUGUCCGCACUAAGUCUGGCACCAAUAUGGUGACCUCCCAGGAGUGGGGGAACCACCAGGUUACCUAAGGUGGGGUGAACCUGCCCAGGUCAGAAACAGAGCAGGUCAAAACUCUCAUGCUGAUCAGUAGUGGGGCUGCAUCUGUGAAUAGCCACUGUACUCCAUCCUGGGCAACAUAGCAAAACCCCAUCUCU